rnacentral:rRNA from 1 species
GUUGUAUGGUUAAGUGACUAAGCGUACAUGGUGGAUGCCUUGGCAGUCAGAGGCGAUGAAGGACGUACUAACCUGCGAUAAGCCGUGAGCAGUCGGUAAGAGACAUUACGACUCACGGAUUUCCGAAUGGGGAAACCCACUUAGCAUAAGCUAGGUAUCGCUGCGUGAAUACAUAGCGUAGCGAGGCGAACCGGGAGAACUGAAACAUCUAAGUACCCCGAGGAAAAGAAAUCAACCGAGAUUCCCUCAGUAGCGGCGAGCGAACGGGGAUUAGCCCUUAAGCAUCUUGGAAGUUAGUGGAACGGUCCUGGAAAGGCCGGCGAUACAGGGUGAUAGCCCCGUACACGAAAACAACCUUGAUGUGAAAUCGGGGACCAUCCUCCAAGGCUAAAUACUCCUGACUGACCGAUAGUGAACCAGUACCGUGAGGGAAAGGCGAAAAGAACCCCUGUGAGGGGAGUGAAAUAGAACCUGAAACCGUGUACGUACAAGCAGUGGGAGCCCUUCGGGGUGACUGCGUACCUUUUGUAUAAUGGGUCAGCGACUUACAUUUUGUAGCGAGGUUAACCGUAUAGGGGAGCCGUAGGGAAACCGAGUCUUAACUGGGCGUCUAGUUGCAAGGUGUAGACCCGAAACCGGGUGAUCUAGCCAUGGGCAGGUUGAAGGUUGAGUAACAUCAACUGGAGGACCGAACCCACUAACGUUGCAAAGUUAGGGGAUGACCUGUGGCUGGGGGUGAAAGGCCAAUCAAACUCGGAGAUAGCUGGUUCUCCCCGAAAGCUAUUUAGGUAGCGCCUCGGACGAAUACUACUGGGGGUAGAGCACUGUUUGGGCUAGGGGGUCAUCCCGACUUACCAACCCCAUGCAAACUCCGAAUACCAGUAAGUACUAUCCGGGAGACACACGGCGGGUGCUAACGUCCGUCGUGAAGAGGGAAACAACCCAGACCGCCGGCUAAGGUCCCAAAGUUCUGGUUAAGUGGGAAACGAUGUGGGAAGGCUCAGACAGCUAGGAUGUUGGCUUAGAAGCAGCCAUCAUUUAAAGAAAGCGUAAUAGCUCACUAGUCGAGUCGGCCUGCGCGGAAGAUGUAACGGGGCUCAA